UCUUAUGAAUGAACAAACAAAGUGGUUUCUUGAGAUGGGAUUUACUCCUGGUGAAGAUGCUGUGAA
rnacentral:pre_miRNA from 2 species